rnacentral:rRNA from 1 species
GACGAACGCUGGCGGCGUGCUUAACACAUGCAAGUCGAACGGAAAGGCCUCUUUCGGGGGGUACUCGAGUGGCGAACGGGUGAGUAACACGUGAGUAACCUGCCCUUGACUUUGGGAUAACUUCAGGAAACUGUGGCUAAUACCGGAUAGGAGCUCCUGCUGCAUGGUGGGGGUUGGAAAGUUUCGGCGGUUGGGGAUGGACUCGCGGCUUAUCAGCUUGUUGGUGGGGUAGUGGCUUACCAAGGCUUUGACGGGUAGCCGGCCUGAGAGGGUGACCGGCCACAUUGGGACUGAGAUACGGCCCAGACUCCUACGGGAGGCAGCAGUGGGGAAUAUUGCACAAUGGGUGGAAGCCUGAUGCAGCAACGCCGUGUGCGGGAUGACGGCCUUCGGGUUGUAAACCGCUUUCGCUCAUGACGAAGCUUUGUGUGACGGUAGUGGGUAAAGAAGCACCGGCUAACUACGUG